rnacentral:rRNA from 1 species
AUUGAACGCUGGCGGCAGGCCUAACACAUGCAAGUCGAGCGAGCGGCGGACGGGUGAGUAAUGUAUGGGGACUGCCCGAUAGAGGGGGAUAACUACUGGAAACGGUAGCUAAUACCGCAUACUAUCGGAUAACCCAUAUGGGAUUAGCUAGUAGGUGGGGUAAUGGCUGACCUAGGCGACGAUCCCUAGCUGGUCUGAGAGGAUGAUCAGCCGCGCUGGGACUGAGACACGGCCCAGACUCCUACGGAGGCAGCAGUGGGGAAUAUUGCACAAUGGGCGCAAGCCUGAUGCAGCCAUGCCGCGUGUAUGAUGAAGGCCUUCGGGUUGUAAAGUACUUUUAGCAGGGAGGCGGUAUCUGCAGAAUAAGCACCGGCUAACUACGUGCCAGCAGCCGCUGUAAUAC